rnacentral:rRNA from 1 species
GACGAACGCUGGCGGCGUGCUUAACACAUGCAAGUCGAACGAUGAAGCCGGAGCUUGCUCUGGUGAAUUAGUGGCGAACGGGUGAGUAACAUGUGAGUAACCUGCCCUUGACUCUGGGAUAACUGCGGGAAACUGUAGCUAAUACCGGAUACGACCCUCGGAGGCAUCUCCUGGGGGUGGAAAGAAUUUCGGUCAAGGAUGGACUCGCGGCCUAUCAGCUAGUUGGUGAGGUAAAGGCUCACCAAGGCGACGGCGGGUAGCCGGCCUGAGAGGGUGACCGGCCACACUGGGACUGAGACACGGCCCAGACUCCUACGGGAGGCAGCAGUGGGGAAUAUUGCACAAUGGGCGCAAGCCUGAUGCAGCAACGCCGCGUGAGGGAUGACGGCCUUCGGGUUGUAAACCUCUUUUAGUAGGGAAGAAGCGAAAGUGACGGUACCUGCAGAAAAAGCACCGGCUAACUACGUGCCAGCCGCCGCGGUAA